rnacentral:rRNA from 1 species
AGUGAACGCUGGCGGUAGGCCUAACACAUGCAAGUCGAACGGCAGCACAGUAAGAGCUUGCUCUUACGGGUGGCGAGUGGCGGACGGGUGAGGAAUACAUCGGAAUCUACUUUUUCGUGGGGGAUAACGUAGGGAAACUUACGCUAAUACCGCAUACGACCUACGGGUGAAAGCAGGGGAUCUUCGGACCUUGCGCGAUUGAAUGAGCCGAUGUCGGAUUAGCUAGUUGGCGGGGUAAAGGCCCACCAAGGCGACGAUCCGUAGCUGGUCUGAGAGGAUGAUCAGCCACACUGGAACUGAGACACGGUCCAGACUCCUACGGGAGGCAGCAGUGGGGAAUAUUGGACAAUGGGCGCAAGCCUGAUCCAGCCAUACCGCGUGGGUGAAGAAGGCCUUCGGGUUGUAAAGCCCUUUUGUUGGGAAAGAAAAGCAGCAGGUUAAUACCCCGCUGUUCUGACGGUACCCAAAGAAGAGGCACCGGCUAACUUCG